CAGCAGCCGCGGUAAUACGGAGGGGGCUAGCGUUGUUCGGAAUUACUGGGCGUAAAGCGCACGUAGGCGGCUUGGUAAGUUAGAGGUGAAAGCCUGGAGCUCAACUCCAGAAUUGCCUUUAAGACUGCCGAGCUAGCAGGUGAGAGAGGUAAGUGGAAUUCCGAGUGUAGAGGUGAAAUUCGUAGAUAUUCGGAAGAACACCAGUGGCGAAGGCGGCUUACUGGCUCAUACUGGACGCUGAGGUGCGAAAGCGUGGGGAGCAAACAGGAUUAGAGACCCGAGUAGUCCCUGUCUCUUAUAA
rnacentral:rRNA from 1 species